rnacentral:rRNA from 1 species
GGGUUGUGAGGUUAAGCGACUAAGCGUACACGGUGGAUGCCCUGGCAGUCAGAGGCGAUGAAGGACGUGCUAAUCUGCGAAAAGCGUCGGUAAGGUGAUAUGAACCGUUAUAACCGGCGAUGUCCGAAUGGGGAAACCCAGUGUGAUUCGUCACACUAUCGUUAACUGAAUACAUAGGUUAACGAGGCGAACCGGGGGAACUGAAACAUCUAAGUACCCCGAGGAAAAGAAAUCAACCGAGAUUCCCCCAGUAGCGGCGAGCGAACGGGGAGCAGCCCAGAGUCUGAAUCAGCUUGUGUGUUAGUGGAACGGUCUGGAAAGUCCGACGGUACAGGGUGAUAGUCCCGUACACCAAAAUGCACAAGCUGUGAACUCGAAGAGUAGGGCGGGACACGUGGUAUCCUGUCUGAAUAUGGGGGGACCAUCCUCCAAGGCUAAAUACUCCUGACUGACCGAUAGUGAACCAGUACCGUGAGGGAAAGGCGAAAAGAACCCCGGCGAGGGGAGUGAAAAAGAACCUGAAACCGUGUACGUACAAGCAGUGGGAGCACCUUCGGGUGUGACUGCGUACCUUUUGUAUAAUGGGUCAGCGACUUAUAUUCUGUAGCAAGGUUAACCGUAUAGGGGAGCCGCAGGGAAACCGAGUCUUAACUGGGCGUUAAGUUGCAGGGUAUAGACCCGAAACCCGGUGAUCUAGCCAUGGGCAGGUUGAAGGUUGGGUAACACUAACUGGAGGACCGAACCGACUAAUGUUGAAAAAUUAGCGGAUGACUUGUGGCUGGGGGUGAAAGGCCAAUCAAACCGGGAGAUAGCUGGUUCUCCCCGAAAGCUAUUUAGGUAGCGCCUCGUGAAUUCAUCUUCGGGGGUAGAGCACUGUUUCGGCUAGGGGGUCAUCCCGACUUACCAACCCGAUGCAAACUACGAAUACCGAAGAAUGUUAUCACGGGAGACACACGGCGGGUGCUAACGUCCGUCGUGAAGAGGGAAACAACCCAGACCGCCAGCUAAGGUCCCAAAGUCAUGGUUAAGUGGGAAACGAUGUGGGAAGGCACAGACAGCCAGGAUGUUGGCUUAGAAGCAGCCAUCAUUUAAAGAAAGCGUAAUAGCUCACUGGUCGAGUCGGCCUGCGCGGAAGAUGUAACGGGGCUAAACCAUGCACCGAAGCUGCGGCAGCGACACUAUGUGUUGUUGGGUAGGGGAGCGUUCUGUAAGCCUGCGAAGGUGACCUGUGAGGGUUGCUGGAGGUAUCAGAAGUGCGAAUGCUGACAUAAGUAACGAUAAAGCGGGUGAAAAGCCCGCUCGCCGGAAGACCAAGGGUUCCUGUCCAACGUUAAUCGGGGCAGGGUGAGUCGACCCCUAAGGCGAGGCCGAAAGGCGUAGUCGAUGGGAAACAGGUUAAUAUUCCUGUACUUGGUGUUACUGCGAAGGGGGGACGGAGAAGGCUAUGUUAGCCGGGCGACGGUUGUCCCGGUUUAAGCAUGUAGGCUGGUUGUCCAGGCAAAUCCGGAUAAUCAAGGCUGAGGUGUGAUGACGAGGCACUACGGUGCUGAAGUAACAAAUGCCCUGCUUCCAGGAAAAGCCUCUAAGCAUCAGGUAACAUUAAAUCGUACCCCAAACCGACACAGGUGGUCAGGUAGAGAAUACCAAGGCGCUUGAGAGAACUCGGGUGAAGGAACUAGGCAAAAUGGUGCCGUAACUUCGGGAGAAGGCACGCUGGUGUGUAGGUGAAGUCCCUGCGGAUGGAGCUGAGACCAGUCGAAGAUACCAGCUGGCUGCAACUGUUUAUUAAAAACACAGCACUGUGCAAACACGAAAGUGGACGUAUACGGUGUGACGCCUGCCCGGUGCCGGAAGGUUAAUUGAUGGGGUUAUCCGUAAGGAGAAGCUCUUGAUCGAAGCCCCGGUAAACGGCGGCCGUAACUAUAACGGUCCUAAGGUAGCGAAAUUCCUUGUCGGGUAAGUUCCGACCUGCACGAAUGGCGUAAUGAUGGCCAGGCUGUCUCCACCCGAGACUCAGUGAAAUUGAACUCGCUGUGAAGAUGCAGUGUACCCGCGGCAAGACGGAAAGACCCCGUGAACCUUUACUAUAGCUUGACACUGAACAUUGAGCCUUGAUGUGUAGGAUAGGUGGGAGGCUUUGAAGCGUGGACGCCAGUCUGCGUGGAGCCAACCUUGAAAUACCACCCUUUAAUGUUUGAUGUUCUAACGUUGGCCCCUUACCGGGGUUGCGGACAGUGUCUGGUGGGUAGUUUGACUGGGGCGGUCUCCUCCCAAAGCGUAACGGAGGAGCACGAAGGUUAGCUAAUCCUGGUCGGACAUCAGGAGGUUAGUGCAAUGGCAUAAGCUAGCUUGACUGCGAGCGUGACGGCGCGAGCAGGUGCGAAAGCAGGUCAUAGUGAUCCGGUGGUUCUGAAUGGAAGGGCCAUCGCUCAACGGAUAAAAGGUACUCCGGGGAUAACAGGCUGAUACCGCCCAAGAGUUCAUAUCGACGGCGGUGUUUGGCACCUCGAUGUCGGCUCAUCACAUCCUGGGGCUGAAGUAGGUCCCAAGGGUAUGGCUGUUCGCCAUUUAAAGUGGUACGCGAGCUGGGUUUAGAACGUCGUGAGACAGUUCGGUCCCUAUCUGCCGUGGGCGCUGGAGAAUUGAGGGGGGCUGCUCCUAGUACGAGAGGACCGGAGUGGACGCAUCACUGGUGUUCGGGUUGUCAUGCCAAUGGCACUGCCCGGUAGCUAAAUGCGGAAGAGAUAAGUGCUGAAAGCAUCUAAGCACGAAACUUGCCCCGAGAUGAGUUCUCCCUGAGACUUUAAGUCUCCUGAAGGAACGUUGAAGACGACGACGUUGAUAGGCCGGGUGUGUAAGCGCAGCGAUGCGUUGAGCUAACCGGUACUAAUGAACCGUGAGGCUUAACCUUACAACGCCGAAG